rnacentral:tRNA from 1 species
AUUCAAAUAGCUUAUAUUUAGAGCAUAACAUUGAAGCUGUUAUUGAGAUUGUUAAAUCUUUGAAUA